CAUACAAUGCUCCGCCGCCGCUGCCGCUGGACGCAGACUGGGCGCCAGCACCCUCUGCCGACAACUCCGCCGCUACGGAAGUCGUGAACAGUGCAGCAACAGAGAGGAAUUCGCAGAGGGCUCCAAGGCCAACGCGGGCAGGGACCAGCAGGAUGCCGGCAAGGUGUUUACUGGAGGCUGGAGCUGGGCUACAAGCAGGAAAGAUCUGACUAUUUGUCUCGAUUUGGGGACGUGGUGGACUGCACGGUUAAAACAGAUCCUGUUACUAGAAGAUCACGAGGAUUUGGAUUUGUUCUUUUCAAGGAUGCUGCUAGUGUUGAUAAGGCCAACAGAGCACUUACGGCAAGGCAUCCCGAGAGGGUGGCAAUCACCGAAACAAUUACCAGCCGUAUUAAAGGGGACACUGCAGGAAACAGGAAGAGAUUGCUCAAGUAGCCAUCUUGCGGGAGGACAUUGGAGAUUGGUCUUCUGCUGAUCUAAGAUGAUUAUUUUGUAACAGACUUUCUAGUGUGCAAGACACAAUUUGUGUCCACCUGUAUAUAGCCGCCAGUUAGUUUUCUUUGUUUUUACUUUGUCUUUUGCUCUCUGUGUUAUGACUGUGUGGAUUUGUGUUUAUACAGACUUUAUUUGUAUGAUUACAUGUUAAACC
rnacentral:lncRNA from 1 species